rnacentral:rRNA from 1 species
GCCUACGGGGGGCAGCAGUGAGGAAUAUUGGUCAAUGGUCGGGAGACUGAACCAGCCAAGCCGCGUGAGGGAUGAAGGUACAGAGUAUCGUAAACCUCUUUUGUCAGGGAACAAAGGCGGGGACGUGUCCCCGGAUGAGUGUACCUGAAGAAAAAGCAUCGGCUAACUCCGUGCCAGCAGCCGCGGUAAUACGGAGGAUGCGAGCGUUAUCCGGAUUUAUUGGGUUUAAAGGGUGCGCAGGCGGUCUGUUAAGUCAGCGGUCAAAGCCCGGGGCUCAACCCGGGCCCGCCGUUGAAACUGGCAGU